GAUGUUUUGGAGAAAACUCAAGACAAGUAUGUUUUUGAUUGGUCAAUAUUUUGAGUAAUGACAUAAGGGUUUAGGGAACCUAGAGGAGAGGCUUCUAUUAGAAUGGUUUGGAUAAUAGAAAUAUGUUUUGAUUGCACCCUAAGGUCGCGAGAGUUAGUGAUGUCAUAUUUUAAAAAAAUACUCUUCCGAGAGAAAGUGAUUAUUUAUUGUAAGAACUGAUGAUUCUUUGAUCCCAAAUGAUUUUGAGAGAUUUCAAGGAAAUCUUACAAUUAAGUUUGGAAAUAUUAUGGGUUAUUGUAUAGGAUGAGUUAGAUAUUAGUUCUGAGAUAAAUGUUAGAAAUAUGAGGUGACUAGUGUGCGAGUUUAAAAGAGUGAUUGUAGGCUGGGAAGUAAUGUUGAAUAUUAAUGAUUGAACGUAAUUUCCUCAACAACAUAAUAUGAAGAAAGGAAGAUGGAGUUUUACGAAAAAUAUAGUGUAUACAGAGGUAGAGUUAAGUCUCAAGAAUAAACCAAACAUAUUUAACUAAACAUUUGAGAACAUUAUUUUAGGAUGUUGUGAUCUUAUAGAUUUCAUGAAGGUCAUCCUAGUAAUUAAAUUUUAGUUAUUUGAGUGAUAAGAAACUUUUAUCACUACAAGAAAACAUCUGAAUACCUAAAGAAUAUUACCCACGGUCUCAGUCCGUGAGUAAAUUAUUUGUUAUCCACGGAAAGACCGUGUAUAUAUUAUUUAUAAAAUAAAUUGAUUUUUUUAAAUUAUGUGAAAUAACUCUCAUUGUCACUCAUUCUCACUGGUCUCUAUAGAACCUUAGAGCCUUUUUUCUCCAACAUCCUCCAGAUUGCUACCUUCUCCAACCCGGAUUCCCGUCGCUCCGGCCGCCACCUCGACGUUCGCUCUCACUCGUUCACAGAUUUUGUAAUAUAUCUUGGUGAUGUGAUUACGGCUAACAAUAUAAUGAUUGGAAAUUCAAGUUUGUAUUGGGAUCAAGCAACCUCUCCAGCAAGAAAUAGGGGCAUACCUUGGGCCAGUGUAUUCGGAAAUCAUGAUGAUGCUCCAUUUCAAUGGCCAUUGGAGUGGUUUUCUGCUCCUAGUAUUCCUCUCAUUCAUUGUCCUCAAACAACUACUUCAUAUUCAUAUUCAGUCUACUUUUCUUAAUUCCUUUGGGAGUUCCAUGUGAAGUUGUAGCAAAAAUUAUCAAGACAAGGUAUGUAACAACACAAAGGAGAUAUGGUUUUUUUGUGUUUAAGGGGAGAUAGUCGAUGAAUCUAUUGUGGGAUGUGAAAGUUGUGGCGGACAUUAUCAAGGACAUGCUCUAGAAAAAUUCAAUUUCUUCAAGAAUUGUGAACCUGUUUUUCUGUUCUAUCUUUCUCUCGUUUGUAUUCUACCUGGUUGUUUUGGUUUCUUUAUUGCUUCUGAAGUUUUCUUUUCUUGAUUUCUCUAACCCAAUAAUCAACUUGUUUUCCUUGAUGCUGGUUUCAAUCUGGACUUUGCAGAGUUACCUUCAAUAAAUUAUUUAUAAACUUCUUAUUUGGCAAUAAAUAUCUUCUAUGAAAAAACUGGUAUGUUGCAGAGCUUUUGGCAGAAGUAGUUCCACUUCAUUUGAUGAUGUAUGUGCAUGCAUAUUAUGAAAUACUCUUCUAUGGAGUAAGAUGACUUCAUACUACCAUUUACUAAUAUGAUUGGAUACUUGGAUUGAGAUACUUAUGAUUUAAUGAGUGAAUACAUAGUAAGUUAUAAUGCUUGAUCUUAAUUGAGUACACUUGUUAACAAGACUUUUAAUCAUUCAAAUAAAAGUUUAUACCUACUAACAACUAAAAAUUGCCUCUAGCAGUCACUAACAGCGACAUUCCUCUUUUUAAUUUGUUGCUAAAUUUUUGCUUUGUAAUGUUGCAGUAGCUAAGAUAAGGAAUAUGUAAAGGAGAUUUUGCCAUAUUGGAUUGUAUUAAAGAGGGAUUUUGCAAUUGCUAAUAUGAUAGGAGCAAAAGGUUUAAUGGGGAACUCAUGGCCAGAUUUGGCCAUAUGGUUGCAAUUGGAUGGCUAACUGAUCCUGGUAAUAAGGCCAUAUUGUUGCUUUUGCUCAUUCUUGUAUGAAUAUCAUGAUCUUUAUUAUUUUAAUCAGUUGGUGGUCAGCAAUGUACUUACAUACCCAAUUGCUUCACUUAUUGACUGAGUUUAGAUUAUUUUUCAAUGUACUACAAGUUGUUCAUCUUUCUCUCUACACUCAAUAAUUUUCAAUGUACUUACAUACCCAAUUGAUUCACUUAUUGACUGAGUUUAGAUUGUUUUUCAAUGUACUACAAGUUGUUCAUCUUUCUCUCUACACUCAAUAAUUUUCACAAGUUCAUCCAAACACCACUCUGAAUAAGCAUACUUUGGAGAGAAUAUGACUAAAGAAAUCAAAGAUGUUUCAAUUGCUUCAAAAAGUGCUUGUCCUAUUUCAUCUCCUUGAUUUAGACAUUUAGCUUUAUAUACUGUUAGAAAUAGGUAGAAUAUUUCACGGAUUGUCUGUGAGUAAUGUAACCUACGUUGUUACCCACGGAAAAUCUAUGAGUAAAUUUACCCACGACAAAUCUAUGAGUUACGUUACUCACAGAGACCCGGUGAGUCAUACUGCGAUGGACAUUCUUUAAGUAACUGUAUUCCCCUUCUUCUCUGUCGGUAAAAUUUUUCCUACGAGCGAAAUAGCUACGAACCUGUGUCUGUAGGUAAUCUGUGAGUAAUUUUACGUUACCUACGAACAUUCCAUAGAUAAAGAUAAAAUUUGCCGUAGAUAACAACAGUUUUUCUUGUAGUGAAUGUGUAAAAUUUGGAGGUUAACUGAUAACUUCUCAUUAUAUACAU